rnacentral:rRNA from 1 species
UAGGGAAUCUUCGGCAAUGGACGAAAGUCUGACCGAGCAACGCCGCGUGAGUGAAGAAGGUUUUCGGAUCAUAAAACUCUGUUGUUAGAGAAGAACAAGGACGUUAGUAACUGAACGUCCCCUGACGGUAUCUAACCAGAAAGCCACGGCUAACUACGUGCCAGCAGCCGCGGUAAUACGUAGGUGGCAAGCGUUGUCCGGAUUUAUUGGGCGUAAAGCGAGCGCAGGCGGUUUCUUAAGUCUGAUGUGAAAGCCCCCGGCUCAACCGGGGAGGGUCAUUGGAAACUGGGGGACUUGAGUGCAGAAGAGGAGAGUGGAAUUCCAUGUGUAGCGGUGAAAUGCGUAGAUAUAUGGAGGAACACCAGUGGCGAAGGCGGCUCUCUGGUCUGUAACUGACGCUGAGGCUCGAAAGCGUGGGGAGCAAACAGG